GCCCAAGUUACCCACAUUUCUGCCCAGCUGACUACAAAUUCUGGUUUCCAUGACCCCCUCUCAGGUGACCAGUCCGCAUCCUGAUACUAUCUCGGAGUCCCCCAGCCAAGAAUCAUCUCAUCAGCAUAAACUCAGGCAAUGUUGAAAGGCAUUCAGAAUGGUACUGGCCAUGUAACAUCCUCAGGAAAAUGGAGAAAGGAGUCACAUCAUCUUCUGUGUUUGGAGACUGCUAUGUAAGCCAGAAUACUAGUCACACAGUGCAGGUGGGAGCGGCCGGGAAGUAACCUCCUUUUUUUUUAAGACUAAUACAUUUAUG
rnacentral:lncRNA from 1 species